GGGGGAGGGGGGAUUAAAAAAAAAAAAACAUUUGUUUUGUUCUUAAAUCCGUUAGCCUUAAAUUCCAUUUUGGGUUUGGAAUUUUGUUUCUUUCUUUCUUUUAAUUUUUUUCAAGAAGUCUUGGAGAAGAUCAUGCACAACUCACCUUAAAGCGCUCAAAGCAAGAAUAAAAGAUUUUGGCAUCAACUCAACUCUUGCUAUUCGUAAUGACUCCGUGAUACGAGAAAAGAAAAGCACCAGACUUUUUGAAGCAUUAUCUAAUUGUCCGUUUUCUUGUGUUCUUUGCACAUCAGAGGAAAGACCUAGAAAACUAUAACUGGUAGCAAAAAUAUACCAACUAAAUUAAGUAUUAUAAUACUGAAACACACCCAACUAAAAGGAAAGAAAAUCUAGAGCAAGGUAAAAACUUACUGAGCUGAAAUUAGCUAAGAAUUUUUCCAUUACAGGAACAAAUUGAUGACAAGUUUUGCUCUCUGAAGAGAGGUUGAGCAGAAGAGAGAGCAAAUGGAGAAAGAAGGAGAGGAAAGGAAAAGAUGGAAAGAGAGAUUUGAGUUGUGAAGGGUUAAAAUGAUAGAGAAAGCCGGGGUAGAGUUGAGGAGGCUACCUAUGAAGAAUGGGUAGUUCAAGAAACAUUUUGUACAGGUACCGGGUACCAAUAGUUUCUAUGGUACUUCAGUACCGUACUGGGCAUGCCAAAAUAUGUACCAGAUUUUUUUUCUUAGUCGGACCCUAGUGGUACCCAGUACACUCUCAAGUUGUACUCCAACCAGAGUAAUAUGUUUACAAAGAGAUGAAGUUAUGUUGAUGGGACUUUUCUCUUCACCUUAGAAUCCC
rnacentral:lncRNA from 1 species